UUGAAAAACAUAGCAGAUUCCAGCAAGGGCACGAUCCACUCUAAAAAGCCAAUAUACGAGCCUAAUCAACCGUCCUACCUACCCAUAUCUCCUAUCCCACCCUGCAUUACGUUGCCAUAAUCCCUCUCCACGUACAACUUCUGUCAAUCUUCCUGUCCUGCUUGCCGCCGUCACAACAGCCAUGAAUCGGUGGGGAAACAAUCUUUGGGCUUCUCGCUGCCUUGGCCCGUGGUUGCCUCCUCGCUCUUCUCCCGGCCACCAUUGUUGGUACAGAUCACAUGUCCAGCACUAUAUCACCUCCUGCCUCCAUUGCCUAUAUUCUUAGAACCUUCUCGCUAUUUCAUUCACGCAAACAAGGUUUGUACGUGCUUGGUGACGUACCUGAUGCUUUUAGGAGAGCAAACCUGCUAAUUUGGCUUUGUUGAAUCUCUUUAUUGAAUUUUCUUUCGUUAUUCAUCCUUGGUCGCGUACACACGAUAAUUAGUUCUCUCACAGGCAAGCAUAAAGGAGAAUACGAGUUGUGCAACCAUACUUGCAGAGUUGUUCAUGCAGUUUUGAGGUUUGAGCCGCUCCUGGCAGGUACUAUCUGAGAUUUGCUUCUGUUCCCCUUUAAUUGUAACUUCAACUUUGGGACUUUGUUUAUUAUAUAAUAGACCUAAUAAAGAUCAGAUGGGCGAUUAAUUAGUCCUUUGUAUAUAUCUCAUUGGAUCGUCCAACUUUCAAAUCAAUUCACAGAUUAUCUUAUAUUCUAAGAGAAAAUAAUGAGAACUCGGGAGGCGAAGAUCAAAGCAAAAUAAGUGUUGUCAGAUUCUCCUAAUCAAAACUCGCGAGGCGAAGAUCAUAUAACAUGGACACAUAUCCCUGUGAAUGUGCCUCCACUUUGAUGCCAUCACACCUCGAGGAGUCCACUAACCCAUGCUUUUCCAUGUCGAUGGGUUCCUUCGUGCUUGAGCAUCAACUCCAAUCAACAAGCCGUUGUGCCCAGUGGCGAAGCCACGUUGAGAGGAGUAUGGUCAGUUGACCACACAGGUUUUUGGCAAAUCCUUUAUACACAAGUAGAAAUCAUGUAUUUUUUUUAUAAAAUUGAUGAAAACACAUGUAUUUGACAUCACAGAUUUAAAAUGACAUCACAGACUUCAGAUCCUGGCACCGCCACUGGUUGUUGUGCCAGUGUCGCGUCGAAUGCCGCCAGUGUCGCCCGUCCAAGAUGAUGAUGCCGUUCGCUUUCGUUUAUAACCGGAGGAUGCCGUGCUGGUAUUCUAAUCUGUUUUUGUUGUUUGCAUCCGGUAGUUAGAUUAUCCAAUCAACAUAUGCUGUACAUGAGGUUUGUGGUAGGAGUACGUACCCAGAAUUAUCUCUAUUGAGUUCCUAUAAUCGCUUCCCUUACUGUAUUUUAUAUAACAGUGACGCUAGCUGGAAGUGGAUGACAAUUUCUGCAGGUUAUUUCAAUUCUUUGGUCUCUUCUUUUAAUUUAUGCUCACCCAGUUAUCCAAUUGGAUAUGUGCAUCUUACAAGUAAAAAUGACGCUAUCAGCUAUGUGGUGGAUCUUUUUAUAUUGCUUUUUCUGCAUAUUGAAUGUAUAUGCAUUCAUUAUGAAAAGAAGGUGGUGCCUUGCAGUAUUUACCUGAAUCGGCUAGGGAGAUCGAAAAAUGAUGCUCAACUGAACGUCUGGUAGUUUUUCCACAUAUAUAUACUUGGUUAGUUUUAAUAGCUGAACUGAUUUUUGUAGUACAACUUAUUUAUUCUGUUGUAUGCAACUUGGGCUUGCUUAAUAAGACUAGCAAAUUUCCAAUAACGUUAUCUGUAGUAAUUGACUCCACUAUACUAAAUUGUUUUCCCUGUUGUAGUUGAUAUCUUUGUUAUAGAUACAAGCGCAGACCUUAGUAGACAUGCAUCGUGAGUAGAUAAAGUUUAGUUUGUAUUUAUUUACUAUAAGCAGAAAAUAUGGUCUCUUACGUACGUACAUUUCCAUUCUCUAUAAUGGGAUAUAUUAAAAGGAAUAAUCAUGUCUAUGCUCUAAUAUCUUCUACAGAGUGAACUGGAGGGCCUCAUAUAAUUUUAGUCGAAAGUACACAAGUCAA